UUCUGGCUCAGGAUGAACGCUAGCGGCAGGCCUAACACAUGCAAGUCGAGGGGCAGCGGGGUGUAGCAAUACACCGCCGGCGACCGGCGCACGGGUGCGUAACGCGUAUGCAACCUGCCCGCGACAGGGGGAUAACGCUGUGAAAGCGGCACUAAUACCCCGUAACACCCGGGGCCGCAUGGCCUUGGGUUGAAAGGAGAGAUCCGGUCGCGGAUGGGCAUGCGUGACAUUAGCUAGUGGCGGGCAACGGCCCACCAAGGCUGCGAUGUCUAGGGGAGCUGAGAGGCUAAUCCCCCACACUGGUACUGAGACACGGACCAGACUCCUACGGGAGGCAGCAGUGAGGAAUAUUGGUCAAUGGUCGGAAGACUGAACCAGCCAUGCCCGCGUGGAGGAAGAAGGCCCUACGGGUCGUAAACUUCUUUUGCCCGGGAGUAAUAAGCGGGGUGCGCCCCGCGAUGAGAGUACCGGGCGAAUAAGCAUCGGCUAACUCCGUGCCAGCAGCAGC
rnacentral:rRNA from 1 species